rnacentral:rRNA from 1 species
AAACCGACACAGGUGGGUGAGGAGAGUAUCCUAAGGCCAGCGAGAGAACUGUUGUUAAGGAACUCGGCAAAAUGACCCCGUAACUUAGGGAUAAGGGGUGCCACCAUCAGGUGGCCGCAGAGAAUAGGCCCAAGCGACUGUUUACCAAAAACAUAGGUUUCUGCUAAGUCGCAAGACGAUGUAUAGGAGCUGACGCCUGCCCGGUGCUGGAAGGUUAAGGGGAUCUGUUAGAGCAAUCGAAGCAGUGAACUUAAGCCCCAGUAAACGGCGGCCGUAACUAUAACGGUCCUAAGGUAGCGAAAUUCCUUGUCGGGUAAGUUCCGACCCGCACGAAAGGCGUAACGAUUUGGGCACUGUCUCAACAACAGACUCGGUGAAAUUGUAAUUCCGGUGAAGAUGCCGGAUACCUGCGACAGGACGGAAAGACCCCAUGGAGCUUUACUGUAGCUUGACAUUGGGUCUUGGUACUACAUGUACAGGAUAGGUGGGAGGCUUUGAAACCAGGACGCCAGUUUUGGCGGAGCCAUCCUUGGGAUACCACCCUUGUAGUACUGGGACUCUAACCAUAGACCAUGAAUCUGGUCUUGGGACACUGUCAGGUGGGCAGUUUGACUGGGGCGGUCGCCUCCCAAAAGGUAACGGAGGCGCUCAAAGGUUCUCUCAGUACGGUCGGCAAUCGUACGUAGAGUGUAAAGGCAAAAGAGAGCUUGAUUGCAAGACAUACAGGUCGAGCAAGGAUGAAAAUCGGACUUAGUGAUCCGGUGGUUCUGCGUGGAAGGGCCAUCGCUCAACGGAUAAAAGCUACCCUGGGGAUAACAGGCUUAUCUCCCCCAAGAGUCCACAUCGACGGGGAGGUUUGGCACCUCGAUGUCGGCUCAUCACAUCCUGGGGCUGUAGUAGGUCCCAAGGGUUGGGCUGUUCGCCCAUUAAAGUGGUACGCGAGCUGGGUUCAGAACGUCGUGAGACAGUUCGGUCCCUAUCCGUCGCAGGCGUAGGAAAUUUGAGAAGACCUGUCCUUAGUACGAGAGGACCGGGAUGGACGUACCUCUGGUGUACCAGUUGU